CCAGUACUCCACCUCCACCUUGCUGGCGUCUGAGUCGGACUGGAGCUCUCUGCCCUUUACCAAUCCAGCCACGGGCCCAUCCAUCUGGCCCAUCAAGACUCACUCUCAUUUCAUCAGUCCAUAAAAACUUAGAAAAAUCAGUCUUGAGAUAUUUCUUGGCCCAGUCUUGACGUUUCAGCUUGUGUGUCUUGUUCAGUGGUGGUCGUCUUUCAGCCUUUCUUACCUUGGCCAUGUCUCUGAGUAUUGC